GCUUGGGCGAUUUCGCUCGUGCUUGUCUCUGAAAGCGAAAAGACAUUCUUUUGAUUCUGUUUUCUCUCUCCUUUUAGAAAACACACAGCACCACGUAGCUGAAACAGAAGCCUUGUUUGAUCUACUCCUUUCUCUUUCUCUAGCUGGCUUUGGGCUGUCUCUUAUUUGGGAUCUCCACAAAGGGCAGGAGGAAAAUCUUCCAGAGGGGUGGGGGAGGGGGGCUGUGAAGUGCUCCUCCUUUACAAGGCAGAGCUGGGGCGAGUGGUUCUUGGCUCACCAGCUGUGUGGAUGAGUGUGCUUAGCUGUUUUUGGCAGCUAGUUCCUGGUUUACUUGGCUUCAGCUGGAUCUCUUGAUUUCGGCUAAGAAGGGCUGUUAUGUCCUCAUUCUGCGGGGAAGGGGAGCGUGCAUAUUAGCCUCAGAAAUAGCAUUUAUUCAGCACCUAGUAUGUGCUUAGCUCUGCACGAAGCAAGUCUUGGGGAGAGCUAGGUGUGCAGAAGUCUACAACCAGAAGAGUGGAGAGCUUUCAGCAGGUGGGACCCUUCUGGAUCGCUAGAGGGUCCAGUCCACCCAACACUAGUUGAGCAUCCGCGAUGUGGCUCUAGCUCCCAAGGAGCUCCUGGUUGAGUGGGAGGGAGAGAGAGGCUUUAGGAAGAAGAUCAUGCUUGCCUAAUGGACAUAAAGCAGGCUUCUCCUAAGACUUCCAUUUGGGUGAAGAAAACACAUCUUAUGAGUCACCGUUGGAUGUUCUCUGCCCGAUCAUCAACUCCUCUUCAUGGUGGCUGAGGAGCUAUCUGACUGGUACUCUGGAAAGAAUAACCUGGAUGAGCUGAGCUGAGCCUGGCUCUCCUAUUUCCUUUUGGGAGUGACCUGUCUACUGAGAGUCUGAGAUUUCUUCUACUCCUCAAGCCCUGAGCCUUAAUUUGACAUCCCCCCAGCAUGUGGACACCUGCCCCAGCCCAGAGUGGCCUGAGACUGAGCAACCCGUCUGCCUCCUUCUGGGGCUCAGGUGGAAGCCCAGUUUAUCUCUCAUUCCACUCUGUCAUCUCACCUGGCUUCCCUCGGGAACAAAGGAAACGGCAACUGGGAUCAGACAAUGGGAUUUUGAAGGAAAACACGAGAGGCUGAUAUUUCAGUUGUGACACGGGACCUUGGGACAAUCUUCUACGUUUCCUCACCGCAGAGGGGCCAGCCAUCUCUCGAAGCCCUUCAGCACCUGCUCGUCUUCUCUGAAACUUCAAGAUGGAGAAUAGACUGCGAUUUGUUGAUCAUCUCCCCUAAGCGGGACGUUCACAUUGAUUUUAGUUUCUGGCUACCGUGAAGAAGUACAGACACGCCCUCCAAGUUGACACCAGUGGCCAGGCAAACGGAAUCAGGAGUCAGGCACUGGGAAAGAAGAAAGAAGGGCAGGAGUGGCACCCAGAAGACCGGAAUUAACGCCCAGAACCGGGCUCUGGGGACAGCACAGCAGGAGGCAGCUGCCGCAGACUGGAGGAAAGGGACCUCUGCGGGCUCAGCAAGGGGAUCCCGAGAGCCCUCCGCGGACCUCAGACCCAUAGCAACUAGAGUCCAAGACGACAGGGGUUUCUGCCCUCUUGCUCCUGAAUCCCAAGCGGUGCCUGGCACGGCACGGGGUGGGUGCUGGUGACCCAGGGCGGAAUGGAGGAGCGCACCAAGGAACCAAAGGAGCGCACAGCUAGACCACACUGGAGACGGACACGGCGGAGACCGUCGGAGGUUAGACGUGGUGAGCCCAACAGCCGGACUGGUCCCAGUAGGGUGUGGAGAUGGGGGAGGGAGAGCCUGCUGCUCAAAUGACAGAGCCUAAGAGACUCAGGUAAACUCUGGCUCCAUCCAGCUGCCUCUAGUUUCUGGAAAAACCCCCAAAGGCAGGGCCCGUGUGGCUGCGGGAGGAAUCUCCCGAGAGCGACAUUUCUCAAAGUUGGGUGACUUUGUGGGGCUUUGGUUAUAGAGGAUUUAUUGCACCUUCAGGAGUCUGAGUGGCACCAACGUUUCAGGGCAGCGUCUUGACUUCAGAAAUACGGGUUUGGCCAGAGUUAGGUAAGGAGGGAGGGAUCCAGCUAAGGUGGUUGGUGUUCAAGGAGAGGGCUUAUUAUGGACUAGAAGUGUGGGUCCCCUAAAUUCAUAUGUUGAAACCCCAGUCUCUAGGGUGAUGGCAUUUGGAGGCAGGACCUUUGGGAGGUAAGAUUAGGGUCUGUUAGAAAAGAAAAAACAAGCCCAAAUUGGAGUCAUUAACCCUCCACGACAGCAAACCGAGACUUAAUUACCGCUCCAAUCUCCCCAGGAAUAAGACUUUUUGGCAGUCCAUCUGAAAUUUUCUUGCACUUGUGAGGUCAUCGGCAGGAUCAAAUAUGCUACAUUCCCAGAGUCACCUCGGUGACUCAGUCGGUUGAACAUCCGACUUCGACUCAGGUUAUCAUCUCGAGGUUCGUGAAUUUGAGCUCCGCAUCAGGUUCAAGGCUGUCAGAGCAGAAGCCACUGGGGAUCCUCUGUUCCCCUUCCUUUCUGCCCCUCCCCGCCCUUCUCUCAAAAAUAAGUAAACAUUAAAAAAAAAACACCUUGCAUUCCUCUCACUCUAAAAGGACGAUGAAGCAAUCCUUUCUUUGGCUGCUAAUGUCUGGCCCUUUACAAACCCUCUGUUUCGUAUACCUGCUUGGAGCAUCUCUCCACUUGCUGGGUGGGAUGCGGCCCGACUGAUGAAUCGCUUCAUAAAGCCAAUUCAAGUCUUCAAAUUUACUUG